GGAGACGUGGCCGAGUGGUCGAAGGCGCUCCCCUGCUAAGGGAGUAGACGGGCAACUGUCUCGAGGGUUCGAAUCCCUUCGUCUCCGCCA
rnacentral:tRNA from 1 species